CCUACGGGAGGCAGCAGUGGGGAAUCUUGCGCAAUGGGCGAAAGCCUGACGCAGCGACGCCGCGUGAGUGAUGAAGGCCUUCGGGUUGUAAAGCUCUGUGGGGAGAGACGAAUAAGUAGAAGCUAAUACCUUCUAUGAUGACGGUAUCUCCUUAGCAAGCACCGGCUAACUCUGUGCCAGCAGCCGCGGUAAGACAGAGGGUGCAAACGUUGUUCGGAAUUACUGGGCGUAAAGCGAGUGUAGGCGGUCUGCUAAGUCGGGUGUGAAAGCCCUGGGCUCAACCCAGGAAGUGCACUCGAAACUGGCAGGCUAGAGUACUGGAGAGGUUGGUGGAAUUCUCGGUGUAGAGGUGAAAUUCGUAGAUAUCGAGAGGAACACCGGUGGCGAAGGCGGCCAACUGGACAGAUACUGACGCUGAGACUCGAAAGCGUGGGGAGCAAACAGGAUUAGAUACCCUGGUAGUCCACGCCGUAAACGAUGGGUGCUAGGUGUCGCGGGCUUUGACUCCUGCGGUGCCGUAGCUAACGCAUUAAGCACCCCGCCUGGGAAGUACGGCCGCAAGGCUAAAACUCAAAGGAAUUGACGG
rnacentral:rRNA from 1 species